AGUGAACGCUGGCGGCAGGCCUAACACAUGCAAGUCGAGCGGCAGCGCGGGGGCAACCCUGGCGGCGAGCGGCGGACGGGUGAGGAAUACAUCGGAAUCUACCCAGUCGUGGGGGAUAACGUAGGGAAACUUACGCUAAUACCGCAUACGACCUGAGGGUGAAAGCAGGGGACCGCAAGGCCUUGCGCGAUUGGAUGAGCCGAUGUCCGAUUAGCUAGUUGGUGAGGUAAAGGCUCACCAAGGCGACGAUCGGUAGCUGGUCUGAGAGGAUGAUCAGCCACACUGGAACUGAGACACGGUCCAGACUCCUACGGGAGGCAGCAGUGGGGAAUAUUGGACAAUGGGCGCAAGCCUGAUCCAGCCAUGCCGCGUGUGUGAAGAAGGCCUUCGGGUUGUAAAGCACUUUUGUCCGGAAAGAAAUCCUGUCGGUUAAUACCUGGCGGGGAUGACGGUACCGGAAGAAUAAGCACCGGCUAACUUCGUGCCAGCCGCCGCCGUAAUAC
rnacentral:rRNA from 1 species